GACGAACGCUGGCGGCGUGCCUAAUACAUGCAAGUAGAACGCUGAAGGAGGAGCUUGCUUCUCUGGAUGAGUUGCGAACGGGUGAGUAACGCGUAGGUAACCUGCCUGGUAGCGGGGGAUAGCUAUUGGAAACGAUAGCUAAUACCGCAUAAGAGUGGAUGUUGCAUGACAUUUGCUUAAAAGGUGCACUUGCAUCACUACCAGAUGGACCUGCGUUGUAUUAGCUAGUUGGUGGGGUAGCGGCUCACCAAGGCGACGAUACAUAGCCGACCUGAGAGGGUGAUCGGCCACACUGGGACUGAGACACGGCCCAGACUCCUACGGGAGGCAGCAGUAGGGAAUCUUCGGCAAUGGACGGAAGUCUGACCGAGCAACGCCGCGUGAGUGAAGAAGGUUUUCGGAUCGUAAAGCUCUGUUGUAAGAGAAGAACGAGUGUGAGAGUGGAAAGUUCACACUGUGACGGUAUCUUACCAGAAAGGGACGGCUAACUACGUGCCAGCAGCCGCGGUAAUACGUAGGUCCCGAGCGUUGUCCGGAUUUAUUGGGCGUAAAGCGAGCGCAGGCGGUUAGAUAAGUCUGAAGUUAAAGGCUGUGGCUUAACCAUAGUAGGCUUUGGAAACUGUUUAACUUGAGUGCAAGAGGGGAGAGUGGAAUUCCAUGUGUAGCGGUGAAAUGCGUAGAUAUAUGGAGGAACACCGGUGGCGAAAGCGGCUCUCUGGCUUGUAACUGACGCUGAGGCUCGAAAGCGUGGGGAGCAAACAGGAUUAGAUACCCUGGUAGUCCACGCUGUAAACGAUGAGUGCUAGGUGUUAGGCCCUUUCCGGGGUUUAGUGCCGUAGCUAACGCAUUAAGCACUCCGCCUGGGGAGUACGACCGCAAGGUUGAAACUCAAAGGAAUUGACGGGGGCCCGCACAAGCGGUGGAGCAUGUGGUUUAAUUCGAAGCAACGCGAAGAACCUUACCAGGUCUUGACAUCCCUCUGACCGCUCUAGAGAUAGAGUUUUCCUUCGGGACAGAGGUGACAGGUGGUGCAUGGUUGUCGUCAGCUCGUGUCGUGAGAUGUUGGGUUAAGUCCCGCAACGGGCGCAACCCCUAUUGUUAGUUGCCAUCAUUUAGUUGGGCACUCUAGCGAGACUGCCGGUAAUAAACCGGAGGAAGGUGGGGAUGACGUCAAAUCAUCAUGCCCCUUAUGACCUGGGCUACACACGUGCUACAAUGGCUGGUACAACGAGUCGCAAGCCGGUGACGGCAAGCUAAUCUCUUAAAGCCAGUCUCAGUUCGGAUUGUAGGCUGCAACUCGCCUACAUGAAGUCGGAAUCGCUAGUAAUCGCGGAUCAGCACGCCGCGGUGAAUACGUUCCCGGGCCU
rnacentral:rRNA from 1 species